GAUGAACGCUGGCGGCGUGCCUAAUACAUGCAAGUCGAGCGAACAGACGAGGAGCUUGCUCCUCUGACGUUAGCGGCGGACGGGUGAGUAACACGUGGAUAACCUACCUAUAAGACUGGGAUAACUUCGGGAAACCGGAGCUAAUACCGGAUAAUAUAUUGAACCGCAUGGUUCAAUAGUGAAAGACGGUUUUGCUGUCACUUAUGGAUGGAUCCGCGCCGCAUUAGCUAGUUGGUAAGGUAAUGGCUUACCAAGGCGACGAUGCGUAGCCGACCUGAGAGGGUGAUCGGCCACACUGGAACUGAGACACGGUCCAGACUCCUACGGGAGGCAGCAGUAGGGAAUCUUCCGCAAUGGGCGAAAGCCUGACGGAGCAACGCCGCGUGAGUGAUGAAGGUCUUCGGAUCGUAAAACUCUGUUAUUAGGGAAGAACAAAUGUGUAAGUAACUAUGCACGUCUUGACGGUACCUAAUCAGAAAGCCACGGCUAACUACGUG
rnacentral:rRNA from 1 species